rnacentral:lncRNA from 1 species
AAAGCGUCUAGAGACAGGAAUGGAUCCAAUUAGUUAUGUGGGUGGUUUUAUAUCUGUAAUACGCAUGCGCAUUACUCCCUCAUGGACAAAAAUCACAAAAUGGCUGCCACCAACUGAGUGUUUUUCAUAUUUCUAGUGCUGUCUUUGUAGUUCCAGGCCUUUUUGCCUAGUUGUUUGCAUGAGUUGGAUCACUGAUUAGACUAAUAGAACCUUGCACUAGAAUGGUAUCUUUUAAUUAUUCUUGUGUGAGGAAAUGGGCUUUUUAGUCUUUCCUGGGUUAUCAUUUGUUCCUUCCACCACAAUUACUCAUUUCAGAACUGUAAGUAAUAUGUCUGUCAAUUUAAGCCUCAUUAUGGGGAAUAUGAGGGAUUUAAUAGGAGGUUCAUCACUCUGAGAAUGCCCCAGGGUAGGGAUUUUUCUCCAACAAGCCUAUAGGAAGACUUCGCUAGUUUGACCAAGCAUUUUAUACCUUGCCAGCGAAUUGGAUCACAAGAGGUUGCUCAUGAGUUUUUGCUUACAUGUGUAGUAGGAGACUAGGAGCUCAAAAUGUCACGAAAAGCUAUCAGUAUUGUUCAUGGUGGUGGACGAAACUCUGGAUGCUAUAUUUGGAGAUGUUGAUAACAUUUCCUUAAGACUAGAUAUAUUAUCAACUCUUUAUUUCCCUUGGCACUACUUAAUGUGACACCAGUAUAUUUCCAGAAUGACAUUCCUGUCAAAUUAUUUUUAGAGAUGAAAAUAGGCUACAAAGUUCUUUGUAAACAUUAAUGCAAA